rnacentral:rRNA from 1 species
AUGGCGCCUGCAUCCCCGAUAUGCAAAACCAUGACUGCUGGCACGCUCAAGCAGAAUCCUUCUGCCGAGUCGCCACCUCGGUGCGUGAACCUGCUGGACGCCGAUGAGUUCCGGCGUCAGGGUCAACAGGUGAUCAACUUCAUCGCCGACUACUGGUCCGGCAUGGGAGACCACCCAGUCCGCCCGAAUGUCACCCCUGGUUUCCUGCGCGACCAGCUCCCCACCGACGCGCCGCCCAUGCCGGAGCCCGACGCCUGGGCCUCCGCGCUGCAGGACAUCCGCGACCUCAUCCUGCCGGGAAUGACGCACUGGCAGAGCCCUCGCCAUUUCGCUCAUUUCCCAGCGUCGAGCAGCACCGCCGGUGCCCUAGGCGAGGCGCUGAUCGCCGGCAUCAACGUCGUGCCGUUCACAUGGGCCGCCUCGCCUGCCGCCGCGGAGCUCGAGAUGGUCGUUGUGGACUGGCUCGGCAAGGCGCUCCACCUGCCAGCAAGCCUUCUGUUCGCCGGAGGCGGCGGAGGCACGCUGCUGGGUACGUCCUGCGAGGCCAUACUCUGCGCCCUUGUCGCCGCUAGGGACCGGAAGCUCGCGGAGGUUGGCUGGGGGAGGAUCGGCGACCUCGUCGUGUACUGCUCAGACCAGACGCACUUCUCGUUCCGCAAAGCGGCGCGUAUCGCUGGAAUCCAGCGCGGCUACUGCCGCGAGAUCCCUACAUCACUUGACGACAUGUUCGCUCUUUCGCCAGCGGCACUGAAGGCCGCCAUGCAGGCAGACGUGGACGCAGGGCUGGUGCCACUCUUCCUCUGCGCAACGGUCGGCACCACCCAGACCACCGCCGUCGACCCCAUCCGUGGGCUCUGCGCCGUCGCGGCAACGCAUGGCCUCUGGGUCCACGUCGACGCGGCCUACGCAGGCUCGGCGCUGGUCUGCCCGGAAUUCUGCCACGUGGUCGACGGAGUUGAGGCAGUAGACUCCUUCAGCAUGAACGCACACAAGUGGCUGCUGGCCAACAACGACUGUUGUGCAUUGUGGGUGAAGAAGCCGGCGGCGCUCGUGGCGGCCCUAGGCACGGAGCAGGAGUACAUCCUCAAGGACGCCGCUGCGGAGGGGCACGACGUGGUGGACUACAAGGACUGGACGAUGACGCUCACCCGCCGCUUCCGCGCGCUCAAGAUGUGGCUCGUGUUCCGCUGCUAUGGCGUCGACGGCCUCCGCGACCACAUCCGGUCUCACAUCCGCAUGGCAGCCGCGUUCGAGGAACUCGUAAGAGGCGACGCCAGGUUCGAGGUGGUAACCGACAGGCACUUCGCGCUCGUGUGCUUCCGUCUUCUCCCUACGGAGCGGCUAGGCGGCGAGAAAAAGGCCAACGAGCUCAACCGCAGGCUCCUCGAGGAGGUGAACACUGCCACCUUGGGCCCCUACAUGAGCGCCGCCAAUGCAGGUGGCAUAUACAUGCUCCGGUGCGCCGUCGGGAGCACCCUCACCGAGGACCGCCAUGUCCGUGAAGCCUGGAAGGUCGUCCAGGAGCAGGCCACAUCGCUCCGCGGUAAAAUGCAAAUUGUAAAAGUGUAA